CUGCAGUGAAUUUCGCCAGCCAAGCUCUAAUUCCUGUGGGGCUCAGAGUGCAAAGGCAGCAGUCUCUUUGGGAGUGUUUGCAGCCUGUGUCUGUAUGGAUUGUACUAAGGGACUUCAGAGACUGCC
rnacentral:snoRNA from 1 species